UACAGAGGGUGCAAGCGUUAAUCGGAUUUACUGGGCGUAAAGGGUGUGUAGGUGGUUUGACAAGUCGGUUGUGAAAUCCCCGGGCUCAACCUGGGAACUGCUUCCGAGACUGUUUGACUAGAGUACGGUAGAGGGCGGUGGAAUUUCCGGUGUAGCGGUGAAAUGCGUAGAUAUCGGAAGGAACACCAAUGGCGAAGGCAGCCGCCUGGGCCUGUACUGACACUGAAACACGAAAGCGUGGGGAUCAAACAGGAUUAGAAACCCUAGUAGU
rnacentral:rRNA from 1 species